ensembl:lncRNA
CUCUAACUGCUCUGCUGAGAAUAACCCCCAGAAACAACUCACCCCAACACACACACACAUCAUUGUCAUCCCUUGCAACUGGGGCACAUUCAGGAGGCUUGCGCUGGCCAAACUGGUGGUCCUUAUAUAUUGCUUAACUUUCUUUGGUCAGAGUAGGAUGCCAGAUCCUGGGCGAAGCAAGAAUUGUCCAGACCCAACACACCCAAGGACCUCAAACAUUAGUGUUCAUAAAAUCCUCUAGGGAAUCCUGAUGCCGUAAGUUUGGAGUGGGGUUCAGAUAUCUUUAACCAUCAGCCUCAGGUGAUUCCUGCUUUUCACCUCUUCUCCAUAAGCUCCCUCAGCUUGACUUUCAUCCACUCCUGAUUUGCUUACUUCACAUGGUUCCAGGAAUUUGCAAUAGGAAAGGCGAUUUAUCCUCCUCCAGGGGAUUUCUGACCCAGGGAUGGAACCCGCGUCUCUCAUGUCUCCUGCGUUGGCAGAAGGGCUCUUUACCACUGGCACGACCUGGGAAGCCCUGUGAACAUGCUUGCUGUCGGUCUGUCCUUCCCCACUUCCCCCCUGGUGGGAGCAAUCGGUGCUAAGAUACUGAUGCCUUUCCCCUCCCCGAGGCAACCUCAACAACUAAGUGAAAAUCCUGUUUCAGCACAGCUGAGGCUUCAGCUGGGUGUCUGAGGAAGAAGCAACAGAGGCCAUUACCUGGGUUGGAGAAGGGAGGCAGAAAAGGCCUGGGGUAUGAGGCCCAGCGUGCCCACUGGGCCCCAGGAGAUGGGGGCUGGUAUGGAGGCCUGAGCAGGGCAAAUCUGCAGCCUGGGCCAGCCCAGAGGGUGCCCGUCUGCUCUGUGGGGUGCAGGUGGGGGAACCAACCAGGGGGUGGCCACCACUGCGGAACCAGGGGGCUACGGCCCAGUUGGGGGCACCUUGCACUCAGGAGCCCCUCCUGCUCCAAGCAGAGGGCUCUUAUUUGACCCUACGGAGAUGAGAAGAGAAUCCUGGUGAUGCCUGAGGCUGAAUUUCCCACUGGACAGGUAGAGGCAGAAGAAGAGAUCAGUCUCCAGGAAGUGAGAUUCCAAGAAGCUCAGAGGCAAGCCUGUUCCAGGACCAUACUUUCUGCCUCUGCACUGACAGAUGAUUCCCUGAAACAGCCACAAGAGUACAAGCUUGGUGGAGUGGAGUAGGGCAGAGCCUUGGCAAAUGUCUCAUAUACUCCAGGCGCUGUGCCAAAGGCUUCAUCUCAUCCAACCUUCCAGAGGCCCUGUGAGGUAGGGACUACAUCCCAUUUGCGUCGGCCCACUUGUGCCCAUUUAGAUGAGGAAACUGAGGGUUACAGAUAUUGCAGUGUGCUCAGGUUUGCCAACUAGAAAACUGCAAUAAAAAUUCUGACAUGACUUUCUCUGUCAAUUUUCUGUUCUUUGCUAUUCUGGUGGAAAUUUAAGAUGCUGAACUCUCAACUUUGUUUCAUGAAAAACUAAACGUGCAAGACUGCUGGAUUGUUACAAUGUCAAUUUCCUGCUCAGAUGCUACACAGUAGAUUUGCAAGAUGCUGCCAUUAGGAAAAACUGGGUGAAGGGUAUGUGGACUCUUUCUGUAUCGUUUCUUACAACAACAUACUAA